rnacentral:rRNA from 1 species
AUGGAACAAUGUAGGCAAGGGAAGUCGGCAAAACGGAUCCAUAACUUCGGGAAAAGGAUUGGCUCUGAGGACUGGGCUCGGGGGUCCCGGCCCCGAACCCGUCGGCUGUCGGCGGAUUGCUCGAGCUGCUCACGCGGCGAGAGCGGGUCGCCGUGUGCCGGCCGGGGGACAGACCAGGAAUCGCCCCUUUGGGGGCUUUCCCCGAGCAUGAAACAGUCGACUCAGAACUGGUACAGACAAGGGGAAUCCGACUGUUUAAUUAAAACAAAGCAUUGCGAUGGUCCUCGCGGAUGCUGA